UACGUAGGGGGCAAGCGUUAUCCGGAUUUACUGGGUGUAAAGGGGGCGCAGACGGCGAUGCAAGCCAGGAGUGAAAGCCCGGGGCCCAACCCCGGGACUGCUCUUGGAACUGCGUGGCUGGAGUGCAGGAGGGGCAGGCGGAAUUCCUGGUGUAGCGGUGAAAUGCGUAGAUAUCAGGAGGAACACCGGUGGCGAAGGCGGCCUGCUGGACUGCAACUGACGUUGAGGCCCGAAAGCGUGAGGAGCAAACAGG
rnacentral:rRNA from 1 species